CCAUCGGACUUGCAAAACCCUAGCCGCCGUGGACUUUUUUGGCGACGAUUACACCGGUUUUUCAGUGGAUUUGUAUUCUCGUGGUCGGUUCCGAACAUUACUCCGCCGCGUUCUAAGUAGAGACGCAGAUCUUAUAAUGCCGAAAAGAGGACGGCCAAGCAAUUCGCAGCAAACCCAGCAAGAUGGGACAAAGCUGGUGAGGCGCAACAUAGAAGAUGCAGUGGAUGAUCUUCUGCCGGUUGGAAUAGCCAGGAAAUUCCGCGAACGAAUUACGGAAGCUUCAACCAGCUCUGCCCAAAAUAAAUGCGAAGACAAGAAGA